CGGCGAGUGGCGAACGGGUGAGUAAUAUAUCGGAACGUACCCAAGAGUGGGGGAUAACGUAGCGAAAGUUACGCUAAUACCGCAUACGAUCUAUGGAUGAAAGUGGGGGAUCGCAAGACCUCAUGCUCCUGGAGCGGCCGAUAUCUGAUUAGCUAGUUGGUGAGGUAAAGGCUCACCAAGGCGACGAUCAGUAGCUGGUCUGAGAGGACGACCAGCCACACUGGAACUGAGACACGGUCCAG
rnacentral:rRNA from 1 species